rfam:Rozella allomycis CSF55 unplaced genomic scaffold scaffold_878, whole genome shotgun sequence.
AUCAAGGCUUUUUUAAAAGCCAUCUCAAUUAAAGAUAUCACUUUUA